rnacentral:misc_RNA from 1 species
AAUACAAUCAGAUGAGCAUUGAAGCAUUUAGAGUUGGAGGGGCAGGAUGGUAAGUGGAAAAUACUUGCCAGUAGUUUGACUCCGUAAUUUAUGAUGCCCUUAUCUGCCAGAUCGGAAAAAGUUCAGAACAAAUGAAGAUGCACAUUCUAAUAACAGCAAUUGACCCUAUAUAUGUUGAUACAGUUGCUGAAUCCAUAGCUCAAUUUUCAAUUCAUUCAAUUCUGUGUCAUCCACAAGUAAAUUGUAAUUAUGAAAGAAUAACCAAUCACAAAGAUUAGAGAGACAAGGCAGUAAUAGCAACAGGAGGAGGAGGCGAUGGAGCAACACUUGUUGCAUUGUCUGUCCAAUUCUUUUCACCCCAGUGCCAUAACAUACUCUCCCAGAAGCAGAAAUCUUCAAAGCAAGUUUUCAAACGUUUGUCUUUUAUCUUGAUUUUCCAAUGACCAUCAGUGUAAUUAGCUUUCUCAGCUUGCCUCCGGUCCCACUCCAAUGCUGCCUUUUGCUUGGACCUAAGGAGGCAGUACUUGUGCAAGUUUUCUGGCAUAGCAUCAUGCACCUUCCACCAUGUUUUGUGAGCAACAUCACUAGCAAACUCCUGCAAAAUGUCUACAUUCCAGUUGCAAUCAUAAUCCCGGAAGCAUAUCCAGGGUUUAUUACCCAGAUAGUGUAGAACAUAAAGGAUUGGAGGAUCAGCACCAAAGAGAUGAGUUUUCAUUUGUUUCUUCUCCUUCUCGUCACCUUCCCAAAAGUGUUUCAGGAAGUUCAUGUGUUUAGGAAUCCGGUGCCACCAUGUGAAAAUUUCAUUCAGAUAACCCUGGUCCCCACCAUUGUAUGACUCAAUCUCAUUGAUGUGAUCCAUUAAGAGCUGGAACGUACAAUUUGAUGGUUCAACCACCAUCACUCCAGAGUUGAACAGGGUAGCAUUAUUCCCUAUAGCAGUAAUUUCUGGCAUCUCAAACAAUAAAUCAAUAUUUCUCAGUAUAAGCAUGUCAGCAUCAAUGAAAAUGAUCUUGUCAUAAUCUGUCAACUGCCAGAGUCGAAAUUUACUAUAGUUCCAUUCAUUGUAAGCAUCCUUUUCAGCUUUCGGGUUCCUGAUUCUUUGGAUUGUAUGGAUUUUCCAGCCUGCAGCCUCUAAUCCUCCUCUAUGAUAAUCACUAAUUGUUUCAUCAACCAGUAUUACAAGAUCCCGUGUUGAACCUGCCAUACGAAUGCUCUGAGCAGCAACAAUCGCCCCACACACAUAAACAUGUGCAGAGUGCAGGAUUGUUGCAUAUGCUUCCCUAUGUGCUCUUUCUGAAUAGAAAUUCUCUUUAGCCUUGAGAGGAACUGCAAGUUCACAUGACCCCACUGGGAGCUGUAGUUUUUCUCGUAACACGUUAAGGUUGGGUUGAUACAGCCAUAAAUUCCCUUCAUGAAAAAUAAGCUCCUUGCAAGUAAACAGAUUUGGGGUUGGGAAGCAAUCAGUCACCAAAAGCACAUGAACAGGAUGAUAACUUUUAGCAGAAGCAGCAAGACUUGCUGCUGCAAGCUGCAGGUGCAAACGAGCUACAUCUCUUGACCAUCUUCCUGACUUGUCACAUGGAAGCUUGACAGCAAUGACAUCAAUACGAGGCUUGCCAGGAACUUUAAGUUUGGGCACUGAAGGACAAGUGGGAACCUCAAAUUCUUCUUCUUCAUCUAUCCAUUCAGGGUACAGGGAUUCCCACGUUACAUUUUUUGGUAGAUGGUCAAGGUUUAGAACAACAUGCUCAAUAUCUGGUAACAGGUGCUUCCAAUUAUCAAUCUCACUCACAUUAAAGUUUAACAAGC